UACGAAGGGUGCAAGCGUUACUCGGAAUUACUGGGCGUAAAGCGUGCGUAGGCGGUUUGUUAAGUCUGUCGUGAAAGCCCCGGGCUCAACCUGGGAAUGGCGGUGGAUACUGGCAGGCUAGAGUACGGCAGAGGGGGGUAGAAUUCCACGUGUAGCAGUGAAAUGCGUAGAUAUGUGGAGGAAUACCGAUGGCGAAGGCAGCCCCCUGGGUCGACACUGACGCUCAUGCACGAAAGCGUGGGUAGCAAACAGG
rnacentral:rRNA from 1 species